GGCCAUAUAAUUCAGUUGGCAGAACAUGAGAUUAUUAAUCUCAGGGUUGUGGGUUUGAGCACCAUAUUGGGCA
rnacentral:tRNA from 1 species